rnacentral:miRNA from 1 species
UAGCCAUUCUGAAACCCCAUUGUU